AUCCCGCCUGGGGAGUACGGCCGCAAGGCUAAAACUCAAAGAAAUUGACGGGGGCCCGCACAAGCGGCGGAGCAUGCGGAUUAAUUCGAUGCAACGCGAAGAACCUUACCUGGGCUUGACAUGUUCCCGACGAUCCCAGAGAUGGGGUUUCCCUUCGGGGCGGGUUCACAGGUGGUGCAUGGUCGUCGUCAGCUCGUGUCGUGAGAUGUUGGGUUAAGUCCCGCAACGAGCGCAACCCUCGCCCCGUGUUGCCAGCGGAUUAUGCCGGGAACUCACGGGGGACCGCCGGGGUUAACUCGGAGGAAGGUGGGGAUGACGUCAGAUCAUCAUGCCCCUUACGUCCAGGGCUUCACGCAUGCUACAAUGGCCGGUACAACGGGAUGCGACAGUGCGAGCUGGAGCGGAUCCCUGAAAACCGGUCUCAGUUCGGAUCGCAGUCUGCAACUCGACUGCGUGAAGGCGGAGUCGCUAGUAAUCGCGAAUCAGCAACGUCGCGGUGAAUGCGUUCCCGGGCCUUGUACACACCGCCCGUCAAGUCAUGAAAGUGGGCAGCACCCGAAGCCGGUGGCCUAACCCCUUGCGGGAGGGAGCCGUCUAAGGUGAGGCUCGUGAUUGGGACUAAGUCGUAACAAGGUAGCCGUACCGGAAGGUGCGGCUG
rnacentral:rRNA from 1 species